CAGUGUUACAGCUCUUUUAGAAUUUGUCUAACAGGUUUUCUAGUCCUCACUAGAAGAACCCCC
ensembl:snRNA U7 U7 small nuclear RNA